rnacentral:rRNA from 1 species
GAUGAACGCUGGCGGCGUGCCUAAUACAUGCGAGUCGAGCGAACAGACGAGGAGCUUGCUCCUCUGACGUUAGCGGCGGACGGGUGAGUAACACGUGGAUAACCUACCUAUAAGACUGGGAUAACUUCGGGAAACCGGAGCUAAUACCGGAUAAUAUAUUGAACCGCAUGGUUCAAUAGUGAAAGACGGUUUUGCUGUCACUUAUAGAUGGAUCCGCGCCGCAUUAGCUAGUUGGUAAGGUAACGGCUUACCAAGGCAACGAUGCGUAGCCGACCUGAGAGGGUGAUCGGCCACACUGGAACUGAGACACGGUCCAGACUCCUACGGGAGGCAGCAGUAGGGAAUCUUCCGCAAUGGGCGAAAGCCUGACGGAGCAACGCCGCGUGAGUGAUGAAGGUCUUCGGAUCGUAAAACUCUGUUAUUAGGGAAGAACAAAUGUGUAAGUAACUAUGCACGUCCUGACGGUACCUAAUCAGAAAGCCACGGCUAACUACGUG